rnacentral:rRNA from 1 species
ACAGCAGUAGCCGCGGUAAUACGAAGGGUGCAAGCGUUACUCGGAAUUACUGGGCGUAAAGCGUGUGUAGGUGGUUGUUUAAGUCUGUCGUGAAAGCCCUGGGCUCAACCUGGGAAUUGCGAUGGAUACUGGGCGACUAGAGUGCGGUAGAGGAUAGUGGAAUUUCCGGUGUAGCAGUGAAAUGCGUAGAGAUCGGAAGGAACAUCUGUGGCGAAGGCGACUAUCUGGGCCAACACUGACACUGAGACACGAAAGCGUGGGGAGCAAACAGGAUUAGAUACCCCUGUAGUCCCUGUCUCUUAUAC